AAUAAAGGAGGGUAAAUGGACACCGUAGUUUUAAGUGAGCAAAUUGGUUUUCCUUUUUGAGGGUUCUCUAAACUUCCUUUAAUAGUUAACAUGAUUUAUCUCCCAAAAUCUCAUGUGUGAGACAAUGCAAGAAAGUUUAGAGUGAAAUGAUUGGGUUAAGAGAGCUUGAGUUAACCAGUGCAUUGAUUCACUUGAUAGAUUAACUGGGAGGUAAAUGUAGGCAGGUAGGGGUAUGGCUGGUGGGGGUAGGUCACUGAAGAUGUGUCUUUGGGGUAUAUAUUUUGUUCCUGGUGAGAGGAGCUCCUCUCUCUGCUUGCUGAUUGCCAUGUCCUGAGUUACUUUCCUCCUCCACACCCUUCUGCCAUGAUGUUCUGCCUCAUCUCAGGAAGAGAUAAAGGAAUGCAGUUGGCCAUCUGUGGACUAAGGCCUCUAAAACUGUGUGAGCCAAAAUAAACUUGUCUUCUUCUAAAAUUGUUCUUGUUAGGUCUUUUGAUUAUGGUGGCAAGAAAACUGACUAAAACACCUCUCAUGACGGAAACAUGAAGCAGUAGCAGCUUAAGUGAUAAAACACUUAGAAGCACAGAAAACACAUCUCAUUCAAUCUACCUUUCUCAACUAUGUCAGGUUAGUCUUGGGAUGUUAAACCUGCCAUGUUAAUUCAGCUUAACCAAUUUGGGGACAUUCUCUUUCAAAAAGGAGGAAUCAGAUCUUCCCAGUUUCUCACAAUAAAAAGUUUUCAGCAUGAUCCAAUCCCGUCUUUUCCUCUUUCUGGGUCUCUACCUGGGCUACAGUGAAGGUGUGGAAGUCCCAACCAAAGAAAUGAUCUCAGCGCCCCUCUUCCACUCCCCUUGCCUUCUCAGCAGCCCCUAGCAGAAUCUCAGUCUUUCCUGGCUGGAAGCUGAGAUCUGAGGAGGUGCCCAGUGGUUGAGGAUGGGGGAGGGGCCCAAGUUACCCAGGAGGAUUGCUGGUGACCAGCAAGGACUUUGGGGUGAAUCCUGUGAGGUGAGGAUGUGGUCACCCAUCACCAGAUUCUUAUCUGGUCUGCACUUGGUACCUGCUUCUUCU
rnacentral:lncRNA from 1 species